UACAGCCACAUCAUCGUGAAACAUCGGUUCCCAUACAAUCACCAAAGUUAAGCAAGGUCGAGUCUGGUCAGUACUUAGUAGGGUGACUGCUUGGGAAUACCAGGUGCCGUAAU